CAAUUGAGGAUUCAAGCGUGGGAACGCCGCUAUUCCCAUUUCUGCUGAGGUGGCCAUUCUCCAUUCAGCCACAGGAACAGUUCCCUAUUGCUUGCUUCCUUCCUAUCUUUUUUUUUUUAAAUCUCUCCAGGGUUGAACUUCAGCCCCUUUCGAAUCACAGCAGGCAGGAGAGAGAACAAAAUCGCUACGGCAAAAGGAACACCGUCGUGGCGCGAUCCUUUUUCUGUCGUCGUUUUAAACGGAGAAAUCGCAAAUCUUGCUGGCGAAGGGGGAAGAUUUACAGGGCACAAAGAAUCCCGAACGGGGCCUCCGAAAAACAACUGACUCAAUUCAUCAGGAAGUAUCGUUCUUGCAAGAUGCAUGUCAGAAAGUCAGAGGUGGGGAAAGCGAAAGAAACAAAACACAACAAAAAAGCAGAAGAGAGAACACAGUGUCCCAGGGAAGUAGACCUGGCCGGCCUCAGACCCCGGGAGGAUACAUGAGAGAUUCUCGCCGAGUUCUAAAAUGGCAGCCG